rnacentral:rRNA from 1 species
UACGUAGGCAGCGAGCGUUGUUCGGAGUUACUGGGCGUAAAGGGUGUGUAGGCGGUUGCUUAAGUUUGGUGUGAAAUCUCCCGGCUCAACUGGGAGGGUGCGCCGAAUACUGAGUAACUAGAGUGCGGGAGAGGAAAGUGGAAUUCCUGGUGUAGCGGUGAAAUGCGUAGAUAUCAGGAGGAACACCGGCGGUGUAGACGGCUUUCUGGACCGUAACUGACGCUGAGACACGAAAGCGUGGGUAG